CGAAUGGAGCGAGCGUUGUUCGGAAUCACUGGGCGUAAAGGGUGCGCAGGCGGUCAUGAAAGUUAGAAGUGAAAUCCCAGGGCUCAACCCUGGAAUGGCUUUUAAAACUCCAUGACUAGAGUAUUGGAGAGGUUAGCGGAAUUCCGAGUGUAGAGGUGAAAUUCGCAGAUAUUCGGAGGAACACCAAUGGCGUAGGCAGCUAACUGGACAAUUACUGACGCUCAUGCACGAAAGCGUGGGGAUCAAACAGGAUUAGAUACCCUGGUAGUCCACGCCCUAAACGAUGUGUGCUAGUUGUCGGGCCCUUUAGGGUUCGGUGACGCAGCUAACGCUUUAAGCACACCGCCUGGGGAGUACGGUCGCAAGAUUA
rnacentral:rRNA from 1 species